UACAGAGGGGGCAAGCGUUGUUCGGAAUUACUGGGCGUAAAGGGCGCGUAGGCGGCCUUCUAAGUCGAACGUGAAAUCCCCGGGCUCAACCCGGGAACUGCGUCCGAUACUGGAAGGCUUGAAUCCGGGAGAGGGAUGCGGAAUUCCAGGUGUAGCGGUGAAAUGCGUAGAUAUCUGGAGGAACACCGGUGGCGAAGGCGGCAUCCUGGGACCGGUAUUGACGCUGAGGCGCGAAAGCCAGGGGAGCAAAGCGGG
rnacentral:rRNA from 1 species